CAGGGUGGUCCUGGUCCUGGAACACUUCUGAUCAGAUGAGAAAUGCGCUUGUGGCAGGUGGUAGUUAGGAAUCCAUGACGGGCAAUUGGGAUUGAGCUCAGUUUGGGUCAAAACACUUGGAGUCGUGUUUGGGCCUUGGUGUUUGGCGUUCAUGGAUACUCACAGUCUAUGAAUCAUGGAGAACCACAACAGGGACUCACCUACCCAGAGUGACGAGCCCGAGAUGAAAGUGGGCACGUUUCUGUGCAAACCAAUCCAACAGCCAGUCUGGAGGCAGAGAGGGAAGCCGCCUAGAUGAAUAUCCCCCAUGAGCUUCUGAUAUACAAGACAGCAGCCAGGUUUGAAAAGGGCAUUCAUUGCAUCUGGACUCAUCCUUAGCAUUCCUUGGGAGGACCACUUGACAAAAUCCACACUGCAACAAAAGAGCAAAGGAGGCUGUUAAAACGAGGUCUAAUUUUAAGAGUAAGCCAUACUUGAGCUGUAGGACAUGGCUGGUAAGAAAUUCACAGAUUUACAGCCUCUAUGUUAAGCACGUCACUUGCAGCAGGUAAAAUGGCCAGUCCCUGUCCACCGGCAUACUUGAGCGUGCCUCCCACCAGCAAUAAUGCCUUUUGUUUAAUUGUGGUUUUCCUGGCCUGACUGCCUCUCAGCAGCAUCACUAAUGUUCAGAGCUCUGCUGAAACAUUUUAUGUUCCCUCCAAUGUCAGCUCAUCUGAAACAAAGCUAAUGCAUCCCUCAGAAGGAAAUGAUCCUUUCAGUUAAAGUAGCAGUAGAUCUCAAGGCCACUGCAAGCACGCAAAGAAGAUUAACAGGCUUCGGAGCUCUAGGGACAUAAAUAAUAGUAUCACACGUGCAUGGCAAUUCCGUUCUGAGCAGUGUGCUGUGAAGUGCAGGCAAGAUGGCAAGGAAAUGUUUGAAUACAGGAAUAGAUUAUUCCACUGCUGACUCCCUUACAUGAGCUGGUUACAGCUGGGUCAUUUUCUCCUUUUCAUUCACAUAUAUUUAAGCAAUUUUCAUCCCCCUCUCAUUGCCCUCUCCAUUUCUUUGGCAUUUAUAUUACUUCCAAAAGACACCACUACGAAUGAUUCA